AAUAUUUGCUAAACUGACCUGUAAAAUAAGAUUUUUCUUUCUUUAAUUCGUAAUUAUCUGAUAUAGGGGAUAAUAUCUAUUUAUUUGUCCAUCAUUAUCUCCAAUUCAAAUCUCCAAUAUUUAAUCCCUAAAGUGCAUGCCUCGGGUAUAUAUAUGUAAAGUUGGGUUACAUUAAAACAGAAUUUAAGGUUUCAGCAACACCCGAGGGAUUGCUGCAGUAAUUUAAUAAGAUAAACAAGUUUUGGUUUCCUACAGCACCCUCAUCAAGAUUAAAACUACAGAAGAGCACAAAAUUCCCAAGUGAUAAUGUGUUCUUCACAAUUUGUCACCAUAAGAAGAAAUUACAAAUAGAGAGUGAUUGAAGGUAUGACAGUAAACUGGAUUAAGAAUGUUAAAUAAAAUAUGUUUUUGCAAAUUUGGACGACAAUUAAUUGCAAUUAUGUACCAUUUCAACAAUAGAAGUAGUAUAGACUUGCAAAUCCGUACCAUUACAACACUGGAAGUAGUAUGGUUGUCUGAGCGAAGCCAAUUGGAAGCAUGUACCUCUUAGUGAAGCUAAUUGGGAGCACACCCUCUGUCUUGUUGCGAAGCUAGAUUGGAAGCAGUACAUAUAUACCUCUGUCUGCAAAAGCUAAUUAGAAGCAGUACCCCUGGCAGAGCGGUCCCAAUUAGAGGCAUGUAACUCUGAGGGAAGCCAAUUGGAAGCAGUACCUCUGCAAAAUUUGAUUAAAAAUUAUUCAACCAAUUUUAUUUAACAUUCUUUUUAAAGUUUACUUUCAUACCAACUCUCAUUUUCUAUUUAUAAUUACUCCCCUUGUUGACAUUGUGACGUGCAAAUUAUCACUUCACCAUUUAGAAGAUCAUUCUAAUAAAUUACUACAACACACGCUCAGGUAUUGUUAUAAGGGUAAAAUAUUUUAUUAAUUUUAGUUUAUGCGACUUUAAAUGAUAACUUAACUUACUGUAACUUUUUGACAGCUAAGGUUCCUCAAGAUCUAUAGAAAGAAGUUUGCUGUCAAGGGCAUGUGAUACAGUAACAGGGGAGGUAAUGAUGUCGCUAAUGUCUAAUAUUACUUUUAGCCAUGUCAAAUAGUUACAUAUCAGGAAAAGACCCAUUUUUUGACUGAUUUAACAUGAAAAUGAAUUCAUUGACCCCUUUUUUUAAAAAUUACAUUAGGCUUGAAUAUGUUUAAAGAUUAUUUGUGCCAAUUUGAAGAAACCAGAGUUUUUUUACUGAAAUCGUGACAAUAUGUUGUUACACAAAUUUAACUCACAACACACUUAAUAUGUAGAGAUGAUAUUCCAGGUUUUUUUUAUUACAAAACUCCCCUUGUGUUUAUCUUUUAUGACAUAAAAGUUCAGUAUGUCUUUCCAUUAGAUGGAAAUAUCCAAGAAACCUAAAUGUCUAGUAAAUGUCUAAUAUUUGACUGCUCAAGUAUUAAAGUAGCACAUGAAGGUACAUGUAUUAUUACAUAUUUGAAUUGACUAGGUGAAUAAAUAGCUUGUAAAUGUAUUUAAAUGUAAAAUACAAUAAAUUACUUUUUGUUUAUAUUAAAUUGUCAGAGGAUGGGGUAGAAUCACCAGUUCUUAAGUUAAUGAAUUCACAUAAGAACAGACUUUGUGGUCUUGAAAAAUCCUUGAAAUAAAAUAAUUACUCAUGGCACCAAAUAGAUUUUACUAGAAAUUACUUUGUUAUGUAGUAGUUUUAAGUGAAAAUGGAAACUCUUAAUAGUUCUUUUAACAAUUUUAAAUUAUAAACCUCAUAUAUACUUUAAAAAAUUUGUUUUUAAUAAAUGAAGAAAAAAGUUGACAAUUUUCAGUUUAAAUUCAAAUUGCAGAUUUGACAUGAUAAAUUCAUUAUUUUUUUUAACAUUCCCUGGUAAGCUAAAAUCUUGAAAAAGCAAGAGACAAAAAGUGUACCAAAAGUGAAAGGAUUAAUAAGUUUAGAAUGUAUUCAAAGUUUUCCAAUGUAUAUAGCUGACAAAAAGAGGAUUUUUAUUUUCAGUCUUCGGGUCAUGUAUAAAAAAAAUGGAUUUCCAGAAAGUUGGCUUCUGAGGCUUGAACUUUUUUUCUUUACACUUUUGAACCCCCAACCAAAAAGAUACACUAGUUUUCUCCACCAAUUAAAAGUGGUGUGUUUACAAACAAUUCAAAAAGUUUUGCUAUUUCAGUUAGUGUUUGGAUAUAAAAUACUCUUUUACUUUGAUAGAAACAGAAAUCAUCACAAAUUCAAUAUCUCAAAACGGACAUCAUAAGGACUCCCCUGUGAGAAUGUGGGAGCCCUACAGUUUUCACUUUGUUCGUCUGUCUACAACUUUUGUAAAUACAAAAUCUCCUCAUAAAUAUAUAGGUAAAUUAAAGCAAUCUUUACCAUUCACUGUGCUUCCAAGCACUUUGAUUACCAUUCUAGGGUUAUGCCCCUUUACAUAUGGAAAAAUUCCUGAAUGUUUCGUUUCUGUUCUCUUAAUUUAAGUUUGUCUCAACUAAAUUUAAUGAAAUGUAUAUAUUAUGCUUAUUACCACUAAACUCAGUUUAAGUUCAAAUUUUGACAGCUUCACUUUUACAGUUCUUGAGUUAUGUCCCUUUAUAACGUAAUAUGCUAGCGGCACAGGUCAUCAUCUGUGUCCCUAUGGAGGCAUUGACCCCAUUUAUUUUUAAUAUAGUGGAAGCAGAUUAGUUGUUAUUUAGGUAUUUUGUAGCAUGAUGCCUUAUAAUUAAAUUUUGCUUGUGUUCCAUAGACUUAUGGUUGGAAAUAUUUUGAAAACCUUCACUUUCUACCCAGAGUGUCAAGUUUCUUUUUAUAUAAUCUAACUUUUACAUGAUCAUUAUAAUGAUUUUCUUUAUGUGUAUAUGUUUAUGCUUAUGAGUUGUAUUCAUGUAUAUUAUAUGUAUAAUAAUUCCCUAGUCAUAAAAGUAUAACAGGAAUUGAUUGUCUUCUUGCGUAUGUGUAAUACAUGUACAUGUAGCCUAGGCGUAGGAAUUUUAGCACCAAAAUAUUUGAGUUGUAAAGUGACAUCUUUACAUAUUUUAGUUCUAGCUUGAACUUUGAACAUUGUAUUUUUAGGGAUGUUGAAAGAACAAAGAUUUGCAUAAUUUUGUAUUUUGAUAUUAAAUUAAUUUUUAUGUAGGUGUAAUGGUUAUUAUAUAUACAAACAUAAUCGUAUUUCGACUUUUGUACCAUAUAUUUUAUAGUUGUAGUCCUAAUGACAAAAUUUCUUUUAUUCUUACAUAUUUACAAACAAAACAAAACAAUAUACGUCCGAGUAUGUCUCGUGAGACGACUUGUCGCAUUGGGUCGGAGCAUAUAUGACCGUUUCCGGACCCUUGGGUCGGACCCAGGUUUCCAGUUUCCCAUUAUUGGGUUUGUUUGGUUGUUCCUGGCCGGCGAGGUCGUUGAUGAUCGAGUUAUUCAUUUGUUCAGUUUACAUUCAUGUCAACCAUAUUAUAUCUCUUGCUUGUACAAAGUUUACUUUUUUUAACUUGGUGUACCUAAUAGUAUAUUUCAAGGUGUUUUUGAUUUAGGAGUAAUUGUGGUUAUUGCUUUUUUCAUAUGUUAUAUAUAUAUAUAUAUAUAUAUAUAUAUAUAUUAAGACACAUGUAUGUAAUUAUUUAAUAAAUUCUCUUGUCCACUAUGCUUGCUGGGCUAUCGGCAACACUAUAUAUAUUGUAUUCAUUUAUGCCUUAUAAUAGAUAUGAGCGUAUAGGGUAUACAUAUAGUUAUUCAAAUGCAAAAGGUUGACAUGAGAUUAUUUCUCUAGUACUGGUACAAGUUAUUGAAUUCAUAUUGUAUAAUGUAUGUUUAUAUUGAUAAUUUGUCUUAUUAAAUAGCAGCUCACAAUAUGCUGU
rnacentral:lncRNA from 1 species